rnacentral:rRNA from 1 species
UACGUAGGCAGCGAGCGUUGCUCGGAAUGACUGGGCGUAAAGGGCGCGUAGGCGGCUUGCACAGUCAGGCGUGAAAUUCCUGGGCUCAACCUGGGGACUGCGCUUGAGACGUGUGGGCUUGAGUGGGGAAGAGGGUCGUGGAAUUCCCAGUGUAGAGGUGAAAUUCGUAGAUAUUGGGAAGAACACCGGUGGCGAAGGCGGCGACCUGGUCCUUGACUGACGCUGAGGCGCGAAAGCGUGGGGAGCAAACAGG